rnacentral:rRNA from 1 species
UACGUAGGGUGCAAGCGUUAAUCGGAAUUACUGGGCGUAAAGCGUGCGCAGGCGGUGAUGUAAGACAGAUGUGAAAUCCCCGGGCUCAACCUGGGAACUGCAUUUGUGACUGCAUCGCUGGAGUGCGGCAGAGGGGGGUGGAAUGCCACGUGUAGCAGUGAAAUGCGUAGAUAUGUGGCGGAACACCGAUGGCGAAGGCAGCCCCUGGGCUGAGAUUGACGCUCAGGCACGAAAGCGUGGGGAGCAAAC